rnacentral:tRNA from 1 species
GGGCAUGUAGCUCAGUGAUAAGAGUGCUUGCCUAGUAUGCAUGAGACCCUGAGUUCAACCCCCAGUACCA